GUGUCUUAGGCGGUUCCAGCCGUUAGUCACAGGGCGGCCGGACUACAAUCCCAGCAUACAACGGGAGUGGAGGUGGUGACCUUGAGAGAGGGCCUGUGCUGUGCGCGCCUCGCGGGGCAUGCUGGGAGCAGUAGCAUCUUAGCUGCUUCCGGCCGCUGGUCGCAGGGCUGCGGGACUACAAUCUUCGCAUGAAAUGGAAGAGAGGGUGGUGCGGAUAGCUUGAGGAAGGAACACUACAAGGCCUGUUAGAGAAGAAAGGGUAGAAUCCCGAGAAUGUUUUCCCCACAGUGCUGAUAAGGAGAGACCACUAUCCCAUCUACUGCUACAGCUCUGGAGACAGAGCUCUCCCACCUGUCAUAUAGAACACAAGGACCAAUCUGCAGAGAAAGAGCAUCCAAACCUGAUCCAGUGGACACUGGGGAAAAACUCACCACAGCUGAGUGUGGAAAAACAAGGCCAACACACACAUCUCUGCACAGAUACAUCUCCCAUAAAGAAACUAAAGUGUUAAUUUACAGGGCACUGUUGCAGACCCACUUCAGCUGGAAGCUAGGAACAUGGACAAGGAGCCUCUCUACCACCAAGGGAGAGAGAGGAAUGUGCUCUUGUCCUGGCAUUGCAUCCACAGGAGGGGCAGGAAAUUCUUUGAAGGUCUCGCAUCUGGGGCUCGAUCUCGUGCAGAGGAGCAUUUCCGAAGACACUGGCCGCUCCCACAAUGGCUCCGAAGAACCCAGCGACCAGCGGGUUCAUGAGUUUGUUGGGGCUGUCCACUCGGUACCAGCUGCGCAGGGAUGUCAGGACAAAGAAACAAGUUGCCUGGUUCCAGCCCUGCUUCAGCACGGGGCCUGUGGGGCCCCGGUAAGUCCCGGUGUUCCCGCACAAUCUCCUAACCCUGUGGAAGAAUCCCCUGUACUUGGAUUUGGAGAGGUCUGGCCAUGGAUUAACUUCACCUUGAUGGUCUCCAUGGGACAUAGGACCACCACGGCCUCGGCCACGCUAGCUCACUGGCCGCACCGCUGCCCGCCUUGCUGUUCACCAGUCCCUGGGCAUCCCGCAUCUGGUUGCUGAGGAACGCCUGACGCCGCCUUGUGGAUGAAGCCGCAGAGCAGGGAGCUGAGGCUGCGGCCCAGGCCCAGGCUGCCUUGGCUGCGACUGUGUGCCUGCAGGCCCCAUGCCCGGUAUCCGGUGGAUGCGAGUGCUAGUCCAGCUGCAGCUGCAUCUUCACGAACUCGGUGGGGAACGGGAUGCAGAUUUUUUUUUUCUUUUCCUUCCUUCCUUCCUUCCUUCCAACUUCCUUCCUUCCUUCCCCUUUCUUUCUUUCUUUUUUUUUUUUUUUUUUUUUUGACAGAAUUUUGCUCUUGUCCCCCAGGCUGGAGUGCAGUGGCGCGAUCUUGGCUCACUACAACCUGGAUUCAAGCGAUUCUCCUGCCUCAGCCUCCCGAGUAGCUGGGAUUACAGGCAUGUGCCACCAUUCCCGGCUAAUUUUUUUGUCUUUUUAGUAGAGACGGUGUUUCCCCAUGUUGGUCAGGCUGGUCUCAAACGCCUGACUCAGAUGAUCCGCCCGCCUCGGCCACCCAAAGUGCUGAGAUUACAGGCUUGAACCACCGCGCCUGGCCCUGUGAUGUAGAUUUUGAUGCUGCCAGCCAGGCUGCCUGCCGGGAUCGCCUGCCCUGGAGCAGGAGCAUCAGCCGUGCGUUCCAGGACGCAGGCAUGGCAUGACCGGCAGGAGGCGGAGUGCCCGGCGUCUCUUGGGAUCGGAGCCUCCUGAAUUCCACGCUGGGACCUUAAUUUGGUUUUAACACAAAUAAAGAUCUCACAUAAAGAUAA
rnacentral:lncRNA from 1 species